CCAACUGCUUGCUGUCUUAAAGAGAUACACACAAUAAUUUUGGGAAUUUUCAACAGUAGUAAUGUCAUGUUUAUCUUUCAGGAUGCUCCCACCAGUCUCUGUGCGAACUAAAUAUGCUUUGGGCAUAAUCUCUCUAUUUCCCAGCCUCAGAGAUCCAUACUCAAACAAUGGAUAUGAACACUUCUAUGACCAACAGAGUGGAUCUGGCUAUUUAUCCUGGAGA